CUGUAAGCACUUUUCGCAUAAUAUCUCAAAAUAUAUAAAUACCUUGGCCUUCAACCCGCUUCCGAUUGAUAGAUCAUUUUUUUUCCAACCUUCCUCCGUUUAUCCGAACCCUCGGGGUCAACCAGUGCAAACACACGGCGGCAAAUUCAAAGUCUACGGAGAUUUAACAUUGUCAAAAUGGCCACCACUUCGGAAGGGGAUCAUCCAUUGUUCGUAAUUUUCCGUACGUUGCCGUCAGUAAGGAAAUGACGUCACACACGUUCGGGAGUGCUCUAUGGUUAUCGACGUCCGAAAAACCUAUAACGCCCGAGACUUCCAAGUAUAUAUUUAUACUACAAGAAAUUACGUCUUCAACAAAACUUUCAUACCCAGACCGAGACCGAAGGGACCAAAGAUUCAUAAAAGGGUUAUUCACUGCAUAAAGGCAAAGAGGAAUCUGAAUAGCUGCCUGGUGCAACUACAAGAUAGAAAAGCACAAACAUGUACAUUAUAUAUAUUAAGCCAUAAGUACCUACAGAUACAUGUAUAUUGAAGGAUAUUAGAUCAAAAUCAGAAGAAUAAAUGUCUAUAAAAGUCAAGAGCCCACUGAUGCUGGAGUCCAUGCUGUAGAAAAGACAUGAAACAGAAGUGAGAAAAUGUCGACAUCAGUCAUCUAUGACUGAAGAUGGAGAUUGUCUCUAUUCUAAAAUUUCCGAGGAAAAUCUUGUUGUGGCUCAUCCAAUGAUCACUCCAUUUGCAGACUACCAGGUUCCAGUCUGAAGUAUACAUAGGAAGAGCAAAAUCUUUCUCAUUCAUAUAAACACUUACUACCUGUGAUCCAGAAGAAUGUCCUGAUUGUUUAGUCCAACAUAAGAUGGAUUUCAAUCUGACACUUUAUUCUGAAAAAUUAAGUGAACAGUCUUCUUAAUGCAGGCAUGUCUUUGUUACAAUAUCUCGACUCUGCAUGGUCAUCAAAACUUUGGACUCUUGUGAAUUAUUCAACCUAUAAAAACAUAAUUUUGUAAGUAAUAAAAGUAUAAUCAAA